rnacentral:rRNA from 1 species
GGCAACCUGCCUCAUAGAGGGGAAUAGCCUUCCGAAAGGGAGAUUAAUACCGCAUAAGAUUGUAGUAUCGCAUGGUACAGCAAUUAAAGGAGCAAUCCGCUAUGAGAUGGGCCCGCGGCGCAUUAGCUAGUUGGUGAGGUAACGGCUCACCAAGGCGACGAUGCGUAGCCGACCUGAGAGGGUGAUCGGCCACAUUGGGACUGAGACACGGCCCAGACUCCUACGGGAGGCAGCAUG